rnacentral:rRNA from 1 species
AACGAACGCUGGCGGCAUGCCUAACACAUGCAAGUCGAACGAAGGCUUCGGCCUUAGUGGCGCACGGGUGCGUAACGCGUGGGAAUCUGCCCCUCGGUUCGGAAUAACAGUUAGAAAUGACUGCUAAUACCGGAUGAUGACUUCGGUCCAAAGAUUUAUCGCCGAGGGAUGAGCCCGCGUAAGAUUAGGUAGUUGGUGGGGUAAAGGCCUACCAAGCCGACGAUCUUUAGCUGGUCUGAGAGGAUGAUCAGCCACACUGGGACUGAGACACAGCCCAGACUCCUACGGUAGGCAGCAGUGGGGAAUAUUGGACAAUGGGCGAAAGCCUGAUCCAGCAAUGCCGCGUGAGUGAUGAAGGCCUUAGGGUUGUAAAGCUCUUUUACCAGGGAUGAUAAUGACAGUACCUGGAGAAUAAGCUCUGGCUAACUCCGUGCCAGCCGCCGCCGUAA